rnacentral:rRNA from 1 species
UUCUUGGUCAUUUAGAGGAAGUAAAAGUCGUAACAAGGUUUCCGUAGGUGAACUUGCGGAAGGAUCAUUAAAGAAAUUUAAUAAUUUUGAAAAUGGAUUUUUUUGUUUUGGCAAGAGCAUGAGAGCUUUUACUGGGCAAGAAGACAAGAGAUGGAGAGUCCAGCCGGGCCUGCGCUUAAGUGCGCGGUCUUGCUAGGCUUGUAAGUUUCUUUCUUGCUAUUCCAAACGGUGAGAGAUUUCUGUGCUUUUGUUAUAGGACAAUUAAAACCGUUUCAAUACAACACACUGUGGAGUUUUCAUAUCUUUGCAACUUUUUCUUUGGGCAUUCGAGCAAUCGGGGCCCAGAGGUAACAAACACAAACAAUUUUAUCUAUUCAUUAAAUUUUUGUCAAAAACAAGAAUUUUCGUAACUGGAAAUUUUAAAAUAUUAAAAACUUUCAACAACGGAUCUCUUGGUUCUCGCAUCGAUGAAGAACGCAGCGAAAUGCGAUACGUAAUGUGAAUUGCAGAAUUCCGUGAAUCAUCGAAUCUUUGAACGCACAUUGCGCCCCUUGGUAUUCCAGGGGGCAUGCCUGUUUGAGCGUCAUUUCCUUCUCAAACAUUCUGUUUGGUAGUGAGUGAUACUCUUUGGAGUUAACUUGAAAUUGCUGGCCUUUUCAUUGGAUGUUUUUUUUCCAAAGAGAGGUUUCUCUGCGUGCUUGAGGUAUAAUGCAAGUACGGUCGUUUUAGGUUUUACCAACUGCGGCUAAUCUUUUUUUAUACUGAGCGUAUUGGAACGUUAUCGAUAAGAAGAGAGCGUCUAGGCGAACAAUGUUCUUAAAGUUUGACCUCAAAUCAGGUAGGAGUACCCGCUGAACUUAAGCAUAUCAAUAAGCGGAGGAA